rnacentral:rRNA from 1 species
UACCAGCUCUCCGAGUGGUAGGGAUGAUUAUUGGGCUUAAAGCGUCCGUAGCUGGCUUAGCAAGUCUCCUGUUAAAUUCAGCGACCUAAUCGUUGAGCCGCGGGAGAUACUAUUAGGCUAGGAGGCGGGAGAGGUCGACGGUACUUUCGGGGUAGGGGUGAAAUCCUAUAAUCCCGGGAGGACCACCAGUGGCGAAGGCUGUCGACUAGAACGCGCUCGACGGUGAGGGACGAAAGCUGGGGGAGCGAACCGGAUUAGAUACCCGGGUAGUCCCAGCUGUAAACUAUGUGGGCUAGGUGUUGGGGUGGCUACGGGCCACUUCAGUGCCGCAGGCAAGCCAUUAAGCCCGCCGCCUGGGGAGUACGGCCGCAAGGCUGAAACUUAAAGGAAUUGGCGGGGGAGCACCACAAGGCGUGAAGCUUGCGGUUC